rnacentral:sRNA from 1 species
CCCUAGCCCAGAUAGAAGCGGCAUCCUUUUUUGUUGCGGGCGAAGCGAAGCGGAGGCCGUAACUAAAAAGAUACAGCGGAAAGCUGGAUGAAGC